rnacentral:rRNA from 1 species
GACGAACGCUGGCGGCGUACCUAAUACAUGCAAGUAGAACGCACAGUUUAUACCGUAGCUUGCUACACCAUAGACUGUGAGUUGCGAACGGGUGAGUAACGCGUAGGUAACCUGCCUGGUAGCGGGGGAUAACUAUUGGAAACGAUAGCUAAUACCGCAUAAUAUUAAUUAUUGCAUGAUAAUUAAUUGAAAGGUGCAAUUGCACCACUACCAGAUGGACCUGCGUUGUAUUAGCUAGUAGGUGAGGUAACGGCUCACCUAGGCGACGAUACAUAGCCGACUUAGGAGGGAGAUCGGCCAAACUGGGACUGAGACACGGCCCAGAAUCCUACGGGAGGCAGCAGUAGGGAAUCUUCGGCAAUGGACGAAAGUCUGACCGAGCAACGCCGCGUGAGUGAAGAAGGUUUUCGGAUCGUAAAGCUCUGUUGUAAGAGAAGAACGGGUGUGAGAGUGGAAAGUUCACACUGUGACGGUAUCUUACCAGAAAGGGACGGCUAACUACGUG